UACGUAGGGAGCGAGCGUUGUCCGGAUUUACUGGGUGUAAAGGGUGCGCAGGCGGCUCUGCAAGUCAGGCGUGAAAGCUAGGGGCUCAACCCCUAAACUGCGCUUGAAACUGUGGAGCUUGAGUGAAGUAGAGGCAGGCGGAAUUCCCGGUGUAGCGGUGAAAUGCGUAGAGAUCGGGAGGAACACCAGUGGCGAAGGCGGCCUGCUGGGCUUUAACUGACGCUCAGGCACGAAAGCAUGAGUAGCAAACAGG
rnacentral:rRNA from 1 species